CCACUGUUGCCAGUUGUUAUUGUUUGUUUUCCCAGUAUUUAUUUGAAAAAAUGUCGGAACCUAAUUUGAAUUGUACAAUGUGAAUUUCAAAGAAAUUGAAUUGCUCAUUACUUAUGGCGCUACCUUGUAUAAUUACGUAUGAUGUUUGAGAGAGAUUCAAGAAGUAGCAGUGGCUGGUAUUUUGUACCAGGAAAUUCCCGUCUUUGAAGUGCUGCAAUUAAAAUUUAUAUUUAGUCUAUUAGCUUCGAAUUAUUACUGUAAGCAGAACAAACUACUGUUUCUCAACAAACGUUUCACUAGCCAAGUAAGCAACAUCAUGAGAUUACUAGAGAUGAUAGAACUAGCUGAAGAAGUAACUUUGUAAAUUCAAAGAUGUCUACAGUGUGUAUUUAAUAGUCAUGUGAUCAUAUAAUUUUUUGAAAACAUGUACAUAUGAUUAAGAAACAACUACUAAAUAAAUAUAAACGAUAUGAA